rnacentral:rRNA from 1 species
GCAGCAGCCGCGGUAAUACGAAGGGUGCAAGCGUUACUCGGAAUUACUGGGCGUAAAGCGUGCGUAGGUGGUGGUUUAAGUCCGUUGUGAAAGCCCUGGGCUCAACCUGGGAAUUGCAGUGGAUACUGGGUCACUAGAGUGUGGUAGAGGAUAGUGGAAUUUCCGGUGUAGCAGUGAAAUGCGUAGAGAUCUGGAGGAAUACCGGUGGCGAAGGCGGCCCCCUGGACAAAGACUGACGCUCAGGUGCGAAAGCGUGGGGAGCAAACAGGAUUAGAUACCCGAGUAGUCCCUGUCUCUUAUA